GACGUAGGGCGCAAGCGUUGUUCGGAAUUACUGGGCGUAAAGCGAGUGUAGGCGGUUUGGUAAGUCGGAUGUGAAAGCCCCGGGCUCAACCCGGGAAGUGCACUCGAUACUGCCAAGCUAGAGUAUCGGAGAGGUUGGUGGAAUUCUCGGUGUAGAGGUGAAAUUCGUAGAUAUCGAGAGGAACACCGAUGGCGAAGGCAAUCCCCUGGACCUGUACUGACGCUCAUGCACGAAAGCGUGGGGAGCAAACAGG
rnacentral:rRNA from 1 species